AUUGAGGGCGCCGCGGUGCAGCCUCCGCGGUUACGUCGCCGGCCACCAACUCGGGGGGCUUCCCCGGAGCCGAUAAAAACGGCUCUGCGGUCGCAUGGCUGGGUUAGUCCUCUCAGGAGUUACAAUUCUCCUUGUUUUUCCCGCCGGGGCCGGACCUGGGCGCUUCCCCCGCGUGCGCACCAGCUGAUGCGCCCUACCGGUGCGCUUUUACGCACAGCUGGGGCCAUCGGGCUCCAGGCCCCGGCGCUGUGAGCCGCGUCUCGCUCUUCGCCUCCCCGGCAGGAUGGACGCCCCGCCGCCGCUGCCCCUUCGCGACCGGCUGAGUUACUCGGUGGGCCAUUUCCUGAACGACUUGUGCGCCUCGAUGUGGUUCACCUAUUUGCUGGUUUACUUCCAUGCGGUGCUGGGCUAUAGCACCCAACAUGCGGGGGCGAUGCUGCUGGCGGGGCAGGUGGCUGAUGGCAUCUGCACGCCCCUGGUGGGCUACGAGGCGGACCAAGCCGGCGGGUGUGGUCGCUACGGGCGGAGGAAAUCUUGGCAUCUGGUUGGGACCAUCUGUGUUCUGCUCUCCUUCCCCUUCAUCUUCAGCCCAUGCAUCGGCUGCACGGAGAACACACCUGAGUGGGCUGCACUCAUCUACUACAUCCCAUUUAUUAUCAUCUUCCAGUUUGGCUGGGCAGCCACCCAAAUCUCUCACCUCUCACUCAUACCAGAGUUAGUCACUACUGACCAUGAGAAGGUGGAGCUCACGGCUUUCAGGUAUGCCUUCACUGUCAUGGCCAACAUCACGGUGUAUGGAGUUGCAUGGUUCCUGCUGCACUUCCAGAUCGACCCCACAAAGAAACUCACCGAGCACCUCGGGCGCGAUGACAUUCCUAUCUUUCGGAACCUAUCCCUGAUUGUGAUAGGAUGUGGUUCCAUUUUUUCACUUGUCUUCCAUCUUGGGACCAAAGAAAAUACACGGACUGUUUCCAGAUUGCCUGAUCCAGAUGAACAUAGUCUCCUAUUACCUCUAGAGCAAAAACAGCCCAUUCAACCCGUCCUGCUUUGGAAACACUGGUUUCUGGAACCUGCUUUCUACCAGGUGGCGAUGCUGUACAUGUCCACCCGUCUCAUUGUCAACCUAUCUCAGACAUACAUUGCAAUGUACCUCACCAAUUCACUAUUGCUUCCAAAGAAAUACAUUGCCACAAUCCCCCUGGUGAUGUAUAUUAGUGGCUUUCUCUCCUCCUUUUUGAUGAAACCUGUGAACAAACAGAUUGGCAGAAAUCUGACCUACUUCCUGGGACUGCUGAUUAUCUUGGCCUUUGCCUCCUGGUUGGCCAUAGCUGAGCGACUCAACGUAGAGGUAUAUGGAGCUGCUGUUCUGCUUGGGGCUGGGUCGGCCACCAUCCUGGUAACAUCCCUCUCCAUGACAGCUGAUCUCAUUGGGCCCCACACGCACAGUGGCGCAUUCGUCUAUGGAUCCAUGAGCUUCACUGAUAAAGUCGCCAACGGAUUGUCGGUGAUGAUUAUCCAGGACCUGCAUCCAUGCCCGACUCAGCUCUGUUGCAACGGCUGCGUGACCUUCUACCAUUGGGUAAUGGUCUCGGUUACUGGAGGCAUAGCAAUAGUGGCUGCCCUAUUCCUAGCCAGCAUCAUGAUCUGGCCAAUCAGCAUCCGUUUCCCUGGAAGGAAAUCCUGUAAACAUGGUUGAGACUUCGUUCAUCAAGCCGAUGAUGACUCCCUCAAUCGUGACCAGAAUAAGAUCAAAUUCGGCAUGGGGAGAGAAGUUAGCAAAAGGAAAUGGGCCAAGUCCAUGGAGAAGAAAAGACAUACCUCCCAGUUCCCUCAGGGCAUGCCUGGAGAUGCUGUUGGGCAGUGGCUCAUAAUAGCAAUAGCACUUAGAGUUAUAUACCGCAUCACGGUGCUUUUACAGCCCUCUCUAAGUGGUUUACAGAGUCAGCCUCUUGCCCCCAACAAUCUGGGUCCUCAUUUUACCGUCCUCGGAAAGAUGGAAGGCUGAGUCAACCUUGAGCCAGACAAUGUUUCGAUUUCAGGGGUGAAACCAAGAGACCCCCAGUAUCUUGAGGAAGGAGAAUCAGUGGCUGUGGUGAACUGAGACAUCUGAAGGAGCAAAGCUAGGACAGGAUGGAGUUGCAGCAGCAUGGAAAUCGAAAGAACGGUUUCAUCUAGCUUGAAUUUGCCCUUAUUUGCUCUCCGGACCCAACAUGGACAAUCCCAGCAUAUUUUGCACAAAUCUUCCUUGACCCUUUAUGGGAAGAUCCUUUCCUCUGACCACUUCCUCCCCCCAGUUGGUCCCUUGCGCAGCUAGUAAAGAACUGGCAAUGAAGCAAUGUCUUCCACCACCUAAUGCACCCUGCCCUUCCCUUUUUCUACGUAUUUGUAUAUAAAAAGUAUAAAUAAAUAAAUGUGAGGGUUUUUUAUUUAAGAAAUAAUUAAACUAUCUUAAGAUUAAAAAAAGAGAGACUUCUAAUAAA